UUUCGACUUGAGAAUUUCAGAAAUAUAGAGGUACAUAGAAUGAAACUUCGGACCGUUAACAGUUAAUUCUUGUUUGGGGCAUUCUCGAAGCAACUGGCUGAGUACCUCCAAACGCGGCUGAAGUAAAAAAAACUCUCCCCAAAAAAUAUUGUUGAUGGGUUCAUUCCAAUUUUUAUUGAGCAAGCAUUUAUAAUAGAAAACAAUUUUUGGUGUUGUGUCAACGGCAGCAGCACGAUGCAUUCAGUUAUUAUCGAUCAAAGAGGAUGUUGCAGUUUAAUGUGGUAUGUAUGCAUCAUCCUGAAGGCUCGAGUUUCAAAUACUCAG